GGAGUUAAAAGCAGGGAAGCAAGCUCUCUGAGAGAGGGGCCUGAGCGAGACCUUAGCUAACCAGGGAAGAGACUGGGAGACCCUGAGGGAAAGUAAAGGAGCAAGUGGAUAAAGCAUUGAACUGGGCUUCAGUAGACUGGGAUUCUGCCAUUAGCUUGCUGAGGAUCUUUGGGAGCCAGAGCUGGCAAAAGUCCCCUAGCAGCACCAGAGGAAAAGUCUCCACACAAAUCAACAUUGACUAAACAACCUGGAGAGAAAAAAAGGAUUAAUCCCUCAACAUGGUAAAUAAGAGCUUAAGCAUCAGCUACAAAUUUCCUGCUGGUCCAUUUAAGAAAAAUACACAAAAUCUUAAGAGAAACAAAUCAGAAGAGGAAAAUAAUAUUUCUCACAAUAAGAUGAUCUCUGAAAUUCUUAUAUCUUAUAAGAACAGUCUCAAGUACUGUCCUGAAUUACAAACUGAAUGGGCAAAAAGAAUCUUCUACAGACAAAAAGCAACAAAAAACAAACACACAAUAGAAAAUGCUGAAAGUGACUAGGCUACUCCCAACAAUAAAGUAUGGAAAAUCUCAUCCAGUGAUUUUAAAAAUUCAGAUGAACUCAAGCUAACCUAAUCAAAACAGCUCUGUGAGCCCCAACUUGCAGGAAAGAAAGGGGGUGUAGGGAAAUCGGUUGCAAUGCUGCGGUUAUUCAAAACAUAUGUGGAUUUUCUUUUAACACCUUUUUAAAACAGUGUCCCUUUUAGGUGUCAAGCUUAAUAAAACACUUGUUCUCCAAAACUCAGGAUGAAUUAGAGAGAGGAGGAGAAAUAAAAGCCACACUUUUUAUAGUUACAUUUUUAUUGAAAUUUAAACACUCGAGUGAAAGAGAUUUACAUAAAAGAACCUGACCUACGUGAUAUACAGUACAUGACUGAAAAUUGCUUCUUGGUUGUUCAUGAAGUUUCAGCUUGACUGGCAGGUACAAUGUAAAAACAAUAUAUGAGCUCUGCUUUCAUUUAAAUUUGCACCCUCACCUGUCACAUUGUAUUAUAUAUAUUUUGUUUAAUAUUUUACAACAGCAAUAAUCACCUCCAAGAACAUUAGUGCAGUAUUCUUAUAGAGCAUAACUUAACUUGCUAAAAGAGACAGACUUUUGGUUUCUUUACUUAACCCUUAGCAUGCUCAUUCUCGGGGCUCUGGGAAGUUGAAAAAGUGCAUUGAAAUUAAUUAAAGUACUCUUCCUGAAUUCAGUGGGCUAUGGAUCAGAUCUUUGAAGAGGUUCCCCUGAUUUUCAAAAACACCUAUGGGAAUUAGGUGUCCAACUCCCAUUAACUCUCAAUGAAUUGGACUUUCUAAGGUGUUGUAUACCUACACAUCAUGAGGAAGUUUAGGAAAUCCCACAAAAUCGUUUAUUUCAUCAGGAAAAUCUUUUGGUCAAGAAAUUUCAACCUGCUCUAAUUUAUAAGUAUAAUGAAAGCUAUCUUCAUCAGAAAGCUAAACUGAGCCAUGUUUGAUUAAAUCUUCCACUAAACUGGCUAUUUUUAAAUGUCCCCAAAUUAUGUCUAAUGACUUGUUUUGUUAGCAUCGGGGGGAACUACAGUGGGGGUGCAGCCCCCAUCUAUCUGAGGUGUAUUGGGAACAUCUUACACAGUUGGAUAAAUGCAAAAGUUGGCAUAGUGGGUAAACUGAAAGAAAGAAACUUCACAAAUAUGGUAGCAAUGAAUGCACCGUAGCAACAGGGCCUGUUCUAAACCACAGGGAAACAUAAAGGGGCCUAUUAUUCAACUGAUAUGCAUAUGAGCUUUGUGCAUGAAAGUCUCUGUAGUUUUGAUGGGAUUUUCCUCAUUUUUAUUUGGAAUAACAAUAGGUGGAGGGAACCCAAAGAAUCAGUAUUUUAAAGUCUCCUGUUACUAGUUUCAGUGUUCCUGACUUUGAGCACACUGAAGUGGUACUUUGGAAGCAGACGCUGUCAGAAGGUGAUGAAUUAGUUCCCUCCAUGGCUGGCAGUACUUGGAGUAUCACCGACUAUUGGGAAACAAAAAAGAAUGCCAAGAAAAGAUGGAGAGUGUGAGAUUAAGAGGGGGAAAAUAAUGUAUAAGGAGAGGAAAAUGAAAAUGGAGGGGAAGAGGAAUAAGAUUAAAUAAAGUGUCAUGUCGGAGUAGAGACAAAAAGAAGAUAAAAUAAAAAUAGGAAGAAGAGAAGCAUAAUUAUAAAUCAUAGGCAACAUUUUCAAAAGUAUGUAGGUGUUUUAGGAGCCUAACUCCCAUUUUCAAAAGUGAAUUAGGCACUUUGGAACCUAUAUUCUAUUGACUUUCAGUGAGAUCUAUUCUCCUAGAUAGCUAAAUCUCUUAUGAAAAUAGGACUUAGGCUUCUCAGUCACUUACAUGACUUUGAAAAUUUUAACUCAGAGGAAAAGAGUCAGAUGUAAAAUUAAUAAUUUUCAGGAAAAUGAUUCUAAAAAUAUGCAGGUUCUGUUUAGAAAUUUACUGGCCUG